UACAGGGGGUGCAAACGUUGCUCGGAAUCAUUGGGCGUAAAGCGCACGUAGGCGGUUCGUUAUGUCGGAUGUGAAAGCCCUUGGCUUAACCGAGGAAGUGCAUCCGAAACUGGCGAGCUAGAGUACUAAAGAGGAUCGCGGAAUUCCCGGUGUAGAGGUGAAAUUCGUAGAUAUCGGGAGGAACACCGGUGGCGAAGGCGGCGUGCUGGGUUGCAACUGACGCUGAGAUGCGAAAGUGUGGGGAGCAAACGGG
rnacentral:rRNA from 1 species